rnacentral:rRNA from 1 species
UGCAAGUUGAGCGCUGAAGGUUGGUACUUGUACCGACUGGUAUGAGCCAGCGAACGGGUGAGUAACGCGUGGGGAAUCUGCCUUUGAGCGGGGGACAACAUUUGGAAACGAAUGCUAAUACCGCAUAAAAACUUUAAACACAAGUUUUAAGUUUGAAAGAUGCAAUUGCAUCACUCAAAGAUGAUCCCGCGUUGUAUUAGCUAGUUGGUGAGGUAAAGGCUCACCAAGGCGAUGAUACAUAGCCGACCUGAGAGGGUGAUCGGCCCUU